GACGAACGCUGGCGGCGUGCUUAACACAUGCAAGUCGAGCGGAAAGGCCCUUCGGGGUACUCGAGCGGCGAACGGGUGAGUAACACGUGAGUAAUCUGCCCUUGGCUUUGGGAUAACUACCGGAAACGGUGGCUAAUACCGGAUACGACAACCGUCUGCAUGGGCUGGUUGUGGAAAGUUUUUUCGGCCAGGGAUGUGCUCGCGGCCUAUCAGCUUGUUGGUGGGGUAAUGGCCUACCAAGGCUUCGACGGGUAGCCGGCCUGAGAGGGUGACCGGCCACACUGGGACUGAGACACGGCCCAGACUCCUACGGGAGGCAGCAGUGGGGAAUAUUGGACAAUGGGCGGAAGCCUGAUCCAGCAACGCCGCGGGAGGGAUGACGGCCGUCGGGUUGUAAACCUCUUUCAGUACCGACGAAGCGCCGAUGAUGGUGGUGACGGUAGGUACAGAAGAAGCACCGGCCAACUACGUG
rnacentral:rRNA from 1 species